UACGUAGGUCCCGAGCGUUAUCCGGAUUUACUGGGUGUAAAGGGAGCGUAGACGGCUGUGCAAGCCAGAUGUGAAAGCCCGGGGCUCAACCCCGGGACUGCAUUUGGAACUGUGUAGCUGGAGUGUCGGAGAGGCAGGCGGAAUUCCUAGUGUAGCGGUGAAAUGCGUAGAUAUUAGGAGGAACACCAGUGGCGAAGGCGGCCUGCUGGACGAUGACUGACGUUGAGGCUCGAAAGCGUGGGGAGCAAACAGG
rnacentral:rRNA from 1 species